rnacentral:rRNA from 1 species
GCCUACGGCCAUACCAGUCUGAAAGUGCCUGAUCUUGUCAGAUCUCAGAAGUCAUGCAGACUUGGGCCUGCUUAGUACUUGUAUGGGAUACCAACUAGGAACAUCAGGUGCCGUAAGCU